rnacentral:rRNA from 1 species
UGAGUAAUGUCUGGGAAACUGCCUGAUGGAGGGGGAUAACUACUGGAAACGGUAGCUAAUACCGCAUAACGUCGCAAGACCAAAGAGGGGGACCUUCGGGCCUCUUGCCAUCGGAUGUGCCCAGAUGGGAUUAGCUAGUAGGUGGGGUAACGGCUCACCUAGGCGACGAUCCCUAGCUGGUCUGAGAGGAUGACCAGCCACACUGGAACUGAGACACGGUCCAGACUCCUACGGGAGGCAGCAGUGGGGAAUAUUGCACAAUGGGCGCAAGCCUGAUGCAGCCAUGCCGCGUGUAUGAAGAAGGCCUUCGGGUUGUAAAGUACUUUCAGCGAGGAGGAAGGCAUUAAGGUUAAUAACCUUAGUGAUUGACGUUACUCGCAGAAGAAGCACCGGCUAACUCCGUGCCAGCAGCCGCGGUAAUACGGAGGGUGCAAGCGUUAAUCGGAAUUACUGGGCGUAAAGCGCACGCAGGCGGUCUGUCAAGUCGGAUGUGAAAUCCCCGGGCUCAACCUGGGAACUGCAUCCGAAACUGGCAGGCUAGAGUCUUGUAGAGGGGGGUAGAAUUCCAGGUGUAGCGGUGAAAUGCGUAGAGAUCUGGAGGAAUACCGGUGGCGAAGGCGGCCCCCUGGACAAAGACUGACGCUCA